rnacentral:pre_miRNA from 14 species
UUCCAGAGAAGAGGGUGGUUGCCGAUCCUGGACGAGCCCCAAAAUGAAAGACCCCUGGAGUGGGGAGACCCUGACUCAAGUCUCAGGAUGACGCAACCUCCCAAGAACUCAUGAGAGACC